ensembl:lncRNA
ACAGGAUGACAAACAUGGCAGGAACCAGUGCAGAAACAGAGAAGGAGGCCUUUAGGGGUUUUGGGGCAAGUUCUAGAACAAGAAGCUACAGUGCAUGGCCAGAGGAAAAGUUCAUGGUAAGGUCACCUUUAAUAUGGCAGCAUUCAUUGAAUAUGACCACCAGAGAGACCCCUCUUAAUAAACCUCUAGGAUCAUAAAAGGAUUUCCAGGAUGAGGUGGAUUCAAGGAAAUGAGUUCUAUGAAAAUGGUGUUUAUGUAUUAGAUAAGCAACACUUUUCCAAUGCCUACGUGUGGUUAUAAUGUAUUAAUACCCUGUUGUCUCACCAUGCACACAAAACAAGAAGUGAUCCUUCUGUCUUGUGCAGGUAAAGAAUUUCUACUGCCAAAUGCUUUUCACUGUGUUAUAAAGUUUGUUCAGGCCCAGUUCAGAAUUAGGAUACAGCUGGGAUGCACAGGAGAAGAGAGAGGAGCUGGGGAGGGCACUGGGGUCACUGGGAGAGGGUGGCAGGAACAGAGCAGCUGCUGGAGGAGAGGAAGGUGGGGUAGGGAGGAAGGAAAACAUUCCGCUGACCUGUUCCCUGUGGGGCAGCAGCAGGCAAAGGGGUCUGUGCAGAUCAGCAGUGCUUCCUGGAACCUCUUUCUCUUUUGUUAUCCAUGUUCUAAAGCAGAUCCUGCCAGGUCAGUGACAUGAAGGAGAAAGUAUCCAGAUCACCAGGAGCUCCUCACUCCCAUCCCUCUGGCUCCUCUCUGUGCCCUGUCCUGAUCUUGCUCCCCAACGCUGGGUGGACACAUGAGGUAGUGGGUGAGUGAAAAGCUGUAACUUUGCCUGCUUCAGAAAUUCAGUUCCUCUGAGUUAUUUCUCUUGGGUGUGAAUUUUUUUUCUUCAGAGGAAGUGGCUUUUGUCAGGUGCUCUAAAUGAAGAUUUUUGUGGUUGGCUCCUCUUUCCCUCCUGAUGAGAAACCCUCCUUCUCUGCAGAAUGUCCCAUUCUCCAACUGCCUUCCCUCUCUUGACAGGUUUCUACCAUUCCUCUUUUCUCUUCCCUGAGUGAUCACUGUCCCUGCAGCAGUAGAGGGAUGUUGGUGGUGCUGGUGGCACUGGACUGCUGCCAGUGCUGGAUGUGUAGGUGAGGCAGCUGGGUGCUUCUGAGAAACAGCUCCUGUUCCAGGAAGUGCUUUGAGAUCAUUGCCUAAACAUGCUCUGGGCUGAGGAAGCAGCUGAGCUGCUGAGGAAGGUGAGCUGCUUCCUCCUCAUAUCCCCAUCCCAUCCUCAUCCUCAUCCCCAUCCCCACUCUCCAUCCUCACCCCAUCCUAUCACAUCCCUCAGGUUUCCCAGAUGGAGCUGCUCCCACAGUCCAAGCACAGCCUGUCAGGCUGUGCUCUCCUCCAGUGGGGAGAAUGUGGGUUGCCGGCAUCCAGAGCCCCUCCAACCAGCUCCAACCCUCUUCUGAAUCCUGUGAAACCUCCUGCAACACCGCAGACUGUCCCUGGGGCCCCCUCUCCCACCCCAACAGCCCCACUCCUCCCCUCUUCCACCAGGGAGCACAGCAGUGUCCCUGCUCCUCCUGGCCAUAGUGUUCUAGGACCCAGGAUAGAGGAGGAAAGCUCAGGUCCCCUGUGCUCCUCAGGAUCUCUCAGGAUGAUAAAUGCGGCAGGAGCCUACUGUAAAUGCAGGGGAAAACAAUGGGAAGAAA